GGAGAGGUGGCUGAGCUGGUCGAAGGCGCUCGACUCGAAAUCGAGUAGGCUGUAACAGGUCUCGUGGGUUCGAAUCCCACCCUCUCCGCCA
rnacentral:tRNA from 1 species